AACGAGGCCGACCUGCGGCUGAGUUACCUGCGGAGGGAUCAUUACCGAGUGAGGGUCCCCUCCGGGGGCCCAACCUCCCACCCGUGUCUACCGUACCAUGUUGCUUCGGCGGGCGCGCCCGUGCCCGCCGGAGACCCCUUGAACGCUGUUGUGAAUAAGGUUGUCUGAGUGAUAUUGCAAAACUGUCAAAACUUUCAACAAUGGAUCU
rnacentral:misc_RNA from 1 species